GCACCGUCAUUUGAAAGGAACAGCCGGCUGACUUGUCAUCAUUUACUGAUGCAUUUCUGUUAAAUCUAAGUUAAGUAAGUUGUGUUUAUUUCAGCUAUCAAAAGUGACUGCUGUCUACAAAGCUGUAUGCCUAAUUUGCAAUAAGGUCAGAUGCAAAAAUAAGGAUUUAUUUUAUUUAUUUAUUUAUUUAUUUUGGACAUCAAAGUCACAUUCUUCUUGCACUUAACAGCCAGUGCUACCCUUUAGUCCCGAUUUUGCAGAGACCAGGUAACAGGCAGGUCGCAGGACUAAGACUCCAGAGAAGAUAUAAGCCGCGGGGCUGUGCAGUGGUCUACUGGGAGCCCGGGGAUGCUUGGUGGCCUUUCUCCCAGGUUUCCUCUCUCCUGACUCAGCACCAGCUGUGCGCACCAGCAGGAAAAAGAACAUGCAGAGAAAUCCCCGGAGUUGCACAGCACCCCCUUGGGACCACUUAACAGUUCAGCCUGGGGUCUCUCUGUUGUGACUGUGCAGCCGGGUCUCAGCACAGCUCUGGAACUGCCCUGAUCUUCAUCUUUUAUCCACAGCUGCAUUGUGAGCCUACACCACUGUCACACACUAAACACAGAGCAGAGGGAAACAGAGGGAAACGUGUUGCAAAGAUGAUGUUUGGAUAAAAGAGGAUAACGAUACAGACUGACCCACAAACACAAAGAGGGAAGACCCAGAUUAUGCACGUGGCGUCUUUGUUAUUUUCUCAACAUCACGUAAACAGUGUGGCGAUAUUACAUCAGAGUAUGUGAACAACAUAUGUAGCGAGGAGCAACAGUAAUCCCAUGUAAUACUGUGAAAAGCUCUUUUAGCAUAGCUGAUACAGAAUCUUUACAAGCCACUGAUAAUGAGCAACAGAGAAAUGGAUUAGGGGUGGCAUGGCUGGAUCUGGGCCAUGGCAAGCAACACACAGCACGGUUAGAGAGUUGACUGUGUGUGCGUGUGUGUGUGUGUGUGUGUGUGUGUGUGUGUGUGUGUGUGUGUGUGUGUCUAUGCCAGAGAAGAGUGUGUAUUAGCAGAGCAUAUCCCUAUGAGGAAGCACAGGCAUUUACAAACAGCAGGUGGUUUAGCAUUCAAUACACCUCUGAAAGCCAGCCAUUGUGUAUGCUGUGUGCACACACACACUUUCGGCUUUUGGAGGUGUCAUGCACUUCAAACUGUUUAAGGUGUCAUUCCUUAAUCCAAACCUAAACAAAUGGAAGUAAGUAUUUUUUACCUGUAGAUUUGUCAACAAAGCCCAUAAACACUGGUAACAUGUGACAGCUUUGUCUCAAACGUGCCUGUUUUAAUGAUGUCACUUUUUUUUUUUUUUUAAUUAUUUAUAAUGUUUGCAAAUACUACAGCAAAUUUGACUGUUCUUUUCUUCAAAUAAAAAAACAGUUUUUAAAAUC